AACAAAGUGGUUAUUUUCAGAUGAGUAGGAGGGCGUGGCGGCGUAUGGAAGCGUUCGUGCGAACGGGCGUGAAACGGCCGCUAGUGCAGAUCUUGGUGGUAGUAGCAAAUAUUCAAGUGAGAUCCUUGAAGGACGAAGCGGGGAAGGGUUCCACGCGAACAUUGAUUGGGCGUGGGUGAGUCGUUCCUAAGCCGAGUGGCCAUUGCUAAAUAACGGCGAAAGGGAAGCGGGUUGACAUUCCCGCACACGGAUGUGGAGGCGGCGACGCCUUAUUGGGGUGAUGACGUUGGCGGUGGCUCUGGGCAGAGUUUUCUUUUCUGUUUGACCGUCAGUGUGCGCUGUGUGGAAUCCGCUUGUCGGGAGAAACACGCGUGCACGGGCAUAGCGCCGGGGCUUUUCCGGCGUCCAGAUCGCCACCGACGACCCUUGAAAAAUCACUUACUGAACAUUUUUCUAGUUUUUUUUUAAAGACUAGGAUUUUGUAAAAUCCACGCCGUGGCGUACCGAUCACCGCAUCAGGUCCCCAAGGUGAACAGCCUCUGUCCAAUAUGAAAAAUGCAGGUAAGGGAAGUCGGCAAAUUAGACCCGUAACUUUGGGAAAAGGGUUGGCUCUAGUGCUGCGUGGGAGUGGUUGUCGUAUGUCAACGGUGUGUGGCGGGCGUUCUGCUGCGGUAAAAGUUUUUUUUUCUUUUCUUUUAAUUUUUGCAUUUAUUUGUGAAUUUUAAAAGGAGGGGGGGAAGAAUUUUUAUUGUGGCGGAAUGCUUUUUUUUGCUCGCACUGUUGCGUGCGACGACGCCCACAGCAUGCAGCAGACUAGAACUGCAACGGGCAAAGGGAA
rnacentral:rRNA from 1 species